AAUUUUGGACAAUGGGGGAAACCCUGAUCCAGCCAUCCCGCGUGUAUGAUGAAGGCCUUCGGGUUUUAAAGUACUUUUGGCAGAGAAGAAAAGGUAUCUCCUAAUACGAGAUACUGCUGACGGUAUCUGCAGAAUAAGCACCGGCUACCUACGUGCCAGCAGCCGCGGUAAUACGUAGGGUGCAAGGUUUAAUCGGAAUUACGGGGCGAAAAGCGUGUGUAGGCGGUUCGGAAAGAAAGAUGUGAAAUCCCAGGGCACAACCUUGGAACGGCAUUUAUAAGUGCCGAGCUAGAGUAUGUAAGAGGGGGGUAGAAUUCCAAGUGUAGCAGUGAAAUGCGUAGAUAUGUGGAGGAAUACCGAUGGCGAAGGCAGCCCCCUGGGAUAAUACUGACGCUCAGACACGAAAGCGUGGGGAGCAAACA
rnacentral:rRNA from 1 species